CAUAGGUUAAUGAGGCGAACCGGGGGAACUGAAACAUCUAAGUACCCCGAGGAAAAGAAAUCAACCGAGAUUCCCCCAGUAGCGGCGAGCGAACGGGGAGGAGCCCAGAGCCUGAAUCAGCAUGUGUGUUAGUGGAAGCGUCUGGAAAGGCGCGCGAUACAGGGUGACAGCCCCGUACACAAAAGCGCAUGUGCUGUGAGCUCGAUGAGUAGGGCGGGACACGUGGUAUCCUGUCUGAAUAUGGGGGGACCAUCCUCCAAGGCUAAAUACUCCUGACUGACCGAUAGUGAACCAGUACCGUGAGGGAAAGGCGAAAAGAACCCCGGCGAGGGGAGUGAAAAAGAACCUGAAACCGUGUACGUACAAGCAGUGGGAGCCCCACCACCAAAGCAUUCUCUGGUGUUGAAGGCCCUGCAAAGCAGCAUCGCGGUGGCGGAGCGUCGUUUGCGACGCCCAACACACAAAACAAGCGGUGAGUGCUUUGGGGUGGGGUGACUGCGUACCUUUUGUAUAAUGGGUCAGCGACUUAUAUUCUGUAGCAAGGUUAACCGAAUAGGGGAGCCGGAGGGAAACCGAGUCUUAAUUGGGCGUUAAGUUGCAGGGUAUAGACCCGAAACCCGGUGAUCUAGCCAUGGGCAGGUUGAAGGUUGGGUAACACUAACUGGAGGACCGAACCGACUAAUGUUGAAAAAUUAGCGGAUGACCUGUGGCUGGGGGUGAAAGGCCAAUCAAACCGGGAGAUAGCUGGUUCUCCCCGAAAGCUAUUUAGGUAGCGCCUCGUGAAUUCAUCUCCGGGGGUAGAGCACUGUUUCGGCUAGGGGGCCAUCCCGGCUUACCAACCCGAUGCAAACUGCGAAU
rnacentral:rRNA from 1 species